GUCUACCUAUCGGGCUAAGGAGCCGUAUGCGAUGAAAGUCGCACGUACGGUUCUAUGCCCGGGGGAAAAC
rnacentral:misc_RNA from 1 species